rnacentral:rRNA from 1 species
GAUGAACGCUGGCGGCGUGCCUAAUACAUGCAAGUCGAGCGAGCAGACGAGGAGCUUGCUCCUCUGACGUUAGCGGCGGACGGGUGAGUAACACGUGGAUAACCUACCUAUAAGACUGGGAUAACUUCGGGAAACCGGAGCUAAUACCGGAUAAUAUAUUGAACCGCAUGGUUCAAUAGUGAAAGACAGUUUUGCUGUCACUUAUAGAUGGAUCCGCGCCGCAUUAGCUAGUUGGUAAGGUAACGGCUUACCAAGGCAACGAUGCGUAGCCGACCUGAGAGGGUGAUCGGCCACACUGGAACUGAGACACGGUCCAGACUCCUACGGGAGGCAGCAGUAGGGAAUCUUCCGCAAUGGGCGAAAGCCUGACGGAGCAACGCCGCGUGAGUGAUGAAGGUCUUCGGAUCGUAAAACUCUGUUAUUAGGGAAGAACAAAUGUGUAAGUAACUAUGCACGUCUUGACGGUACCUAAUCAGAAAGCCACGGCUAACUACGUG